GUGCACUCUGGAGGCGGCCCCGACAGGGCUGUUGUGAUGGGUAUAAAAUCGAGGCCGUUUGAGGGGCGGUGCCUGACGUCCUGGCCCCGUGGGUUUGCAGAGCAAGGGCCCAGCCAAGCUGGGGAGGUUCACGGCUCUUGGUCUCUGACCCCUUCAUGUUAGUCUCCAGACGUGCGUCAUCCUAGCUGAGUGACCUUGGGAAGGUCACUUGACCCUCAGCUCCUUGGGGGAUCACCAUUCCUAGCUCUUGGGGUUGGGGUGAGGAUGAAGUAUGGAGAACUUGGCACAGAUUGGGCACAGGCUGGACCCUCACUAGCUCCUCUGGCCCAAGGCCCUCAGGCAGCCCCAUGGUGUGGUAGGGCUGCCUUCCCACCUGGGGUCUGUCCUUUCUCCCAGGAUCUCCUGUUGUCUCCUCCUGCUUCGGGGUUGCAGGUGGGACCCGAGGAGCAGGGCACAUUUGCAGAAGCCUAGUCCUUUCUGUCCAGUCCUCUGCCUUCAUGCCUGCCACCCCAGAUAGUGUGUUUCCUGGAGGUCCAUGGCUGUUGGGAGGUAAUUCAGGGCUGAGGUCAGAUUCUCCUCCUCAGAAGCUGAGCCCAAGGCAGCAGUCCCCAUCCCAGACCCUGGGUUGUGCGGAGCCCUCCAACAGCUCAGUGUCCCGUCCGUGCCAUGCUCUUCCUGGGUGUGGCUGGAGUGCCAGCUCAGGUGGGGGCAGUGACCUCGCCUGCUUGGGCUUCCUGUGGUGGGACCUGACCUCAGGCAGGUCCACACCCUGAGAGCCAAGGGUCUGCAUUCUGUUGGGUGAGCCCCAGGAGAGGGCGUCAUCAGUGCACAGAGAGGUUAAGAAAUUCUUUCAAGAGCACACAGCGGACAGAGGUGGCUCAGGGCUACAUGAGUCCAGCCUUGCCACCUGCUCCUUCCCUUGCUCCCUUGCUAAUUUCCGGGUCGUCUGCUCUGAGCUGGCAGACCCAGGACACCGGGAGAGCCGUGAUCA
rnacentral:lncRNA from 1 species